rnacentral:tRNA from 1 species
GUUGUCGUGGCCGAGUGGUUAAGGCGAUGGACUGUAAAUCUUUUGGGAUCUCCCGCGCAGGUUCUAAGCCUGUCGACAUCG